rnacentral:hammerhead_ribozyme from 1 species
AUACAGCUGACGAGUUCCAAACAGGACGAAACGCAAGUCCUGUU